rnacentral:lncRNA from 1 species
GGAGAGAGAAAACGCCAGCCAGCUGAAAAGCCAGGAGAAAGCAGCAGAGAAAGAUGGUUUUGUAACCCAUAUCUCCCUUCAGGCUAUUCAUGCAAUACUGUUUAUUUCACAUCUGCAAAACUGGGCCUCCCUUUUUUGGAAUGAUGUUUCUUCUGAUUUCAAGAGCCUUCUUCCAAUUGCUUCUACCUGGAAGUCAUGAUUUUAAAGUGAAAGCUCUUUGAAAGCUAUUCUUCUCCUCUCCAGUUCUUCAAAUGAGGAGAUCAAGAUUAAGACUGCUGAACUGAUAAAGGUAAAGUUUGCCCCUAUGUAAAGCCAUGAUUUUACACUUCUAAAAAAGUAUUCAAUUCUUUAUAAAUAUUAGAUACACUUUAGCUCUCAACAUAAUCCUGUGUUCUGGGG